rnacentral:tRNA from 1 species
UACAUGCUAGUGUAAAGCACGAAAAAUUUUGAUUUUUUAAGUUUAGGUGAGGGUCCUUUGCAUGUAA